AUCCAUCUGACGAGUCCCAAAUAGGACGAAAUCUGAGUCCUAGAU
rnacentral:hammerhead_ribozyme from 1 species